rnacentral:rRNA from 1 species
GUGAACGCUGGCGGCGUGCCUAAUACAUGCAAGUCGAACGGAAUUUAAGAGAGCUUGCUCUUUUAAAUUUAGUGGCGCACGGGUGAGUAAUAUAUAGCUAAUCUGCCCCUUGCUGGAGGACAACAGUUAGAAAUGACUGCUAAUACUCCAUACUCCUUUUUACCAUAAGAUAAAUCGGGAAAGAAUUUCGGCAAGGGAUGAGACUAUAUCGUAUCAGCUAGUCGGUGGGGUAACGGCCUACCGAGGCUAUGACGCGUAACUGGUCUGAGAGGAUGAUCAGUCACAUUGGAACUGAGACACGGUCCAAACUCCUACGGGAGGCAGCAGUAGGGAAUAUUGCGCAAUGGGGGAAACCCUGACGCAGCAACGCCGCGUGGAGGAUGACACUUUUCGGAGCGUAAACUCCUUUUGUUAGGGAAGAAUAAUGGCGGUACCUAACGAAUAAGCACCGGCUAACUCCGUGCCAGCAGCCGCGGUAAUACGGAGGGUGCAAGCGUUACUCGGAAUCACUGGGCGUAAAGGACGCGUAGGCGGAUUAUCAAGUCUCUUGUGAAAUCUAACGGCUUAACCGUUAAACUGCUUGGGAAACUGAUAAUCUAGAGUAAGGGAGAGGCAGAUGGAAUUCUUGGUGUAGGGGUAAAAUCCGUAGAUAUCAAGAAGAAUACCUAUUGCGAAGGCGAUCUGCUGGAACUUAACUGACGCUAAUGCGUGAAAGCGUGGGGAGCAAACAGGAUUAGAUACC